rnacentral:rRNA from 1 species
CCGGGGGAUAACAGCUGGAAACGGCUGCUAAGUACCGCAUAAGCGCACAGAGCUGCAUGGCUCGGUGUGAAAAACUCCGGUGGUAUGGGAUGGGCCCGCGUCUGAUUAGGCAGUUGGCGGGGUAACGGCCCACCAAACCGACGAUCAGUAGCCGGCCUGAGAGGGCGACCGGCCACAUUGGGACUGAGACACGGCCCAAACUCCUACGGGAGGCAGCAGUGGGGAAUAUUGCACAAUGGGGGAAACCCUGAUGCAGCGACGCCGGCGUGAGCGAAGAAGUAUUUCGGUAUGUAAAGCUCUAUCAGCAGGGAAGAUAAUGACGGUACCUGACUAAGAAGCCCCGGCUAACUACGUGCCAGCAGCCGCGGUAAUACGUAGGGGGCAAGCGUUAUCCGGACUUACUGGGUGUAAAGGGAGCGUAGACGGCAAGGCAAGUCUGAUGUGAAAACCCAGGGCUUAACCAUGGGACUGCAUUGGAAACUGUCUGGCUCGAGUGCCGGAGAGGUAAGCGGAAUUCGUAGUGUAGCGGUGAAAUGCGUAGA